rnacentral:rRNA from 1 species
UACGAAGGGGGCUAGCGUUGUUCGGAAUUACUGGGCGUAAAGCGUGUGUAGGCGGCCAGACAAGUCGGAUGUGAAAGCCCAGGGCUCAACCCUGGAAGUGCACUCGAUACUGCCUGGCUAGAGUGUCGGAGAGGUUGGUGGAAUUCCUGGUGUAGCGGUGAAAUGCGCAGAUAUCAGGAGGAACACCAAUGGCGAAGGCAGCUCGCUGGGACGUGACUGACGCUGAGACGCGAAAGCGUGGGGAGCAAACAGG